GAUAACAUCGUACAAUUGUUAUCAAUAUUCAUUGUUUGCUUGUGAAUUAUUUUUUAUAAAAGUUUUGAUUUUUCUCAAAUUAAUUUAGUCCAGAUCCUAAGAAAUAAUAAGUUAUACUAUUAUAGUACUGUAGCAGUUAGUGCUUUAUACUUUAUAGUAUAGGUUAGGUCUCUGUGGUCAACCAAAACAAAUUCAAUCAUGUCAAACUUACUUCUAUAGUUCAAUGUAAGUACUUUUAUUACAAAAUUUCCAAAGUAUAUCAAGCGUAUAACUCGUGAAAGUGAAUAUUGCUGUUUUGUUCAACAUUACCUAGUCAGUAAUUAACAUCCUCAAUUAUUAAGAUACUCUAUAAACCAAUGGAUCUAAAUGAAUAAAUGUUAUAUUCUCAAUGCACCAGCACUCUGUUAGACGACUACUUGAAGACUCACAAUCUAGAAAUGGGGAUUCAUGCUUAAUUGUUUUGGUAACUGAGAGUGAAUCAAUGUUAUUAGGACAUAAAAAAAUGUUUUAGUAGCAGAUAGUCCAUAUUUCCGAGCUGUGUUUAACAGUUUUGAGAAGAGCAACAAUUCAAGUCUUGAUAAUAUGAGUUGGAUCCCACCGUUUUACUACUAUUUUUAGAUGAUAAUUAUAUAUAUUUAUACUGGCAAAAUUAUGGUCACCAAUGAAAAUGUACAGAAAUCAGUUCAGCAUUUCACUAUUCCAAAUAGGAUUCGGUGUAGAGGUUUUUGAUGUCAGUGCUCAAAAAUGGGUAGCUAGUAUGACUCAAUAAGUGAUCAGCGGAUCAGCGUGGGGGUGCUCAAUAAUCGUUUAUAUGAGAUAGGAUGUUUUUCAAAACAUUUGAAGUCUGUCGAACGUUAUGAUCCCACACAUGAAUAACCUAGUUAAAUAACUGUUUGUAUUUCGUGAAGGUGUUAAUAUAGAAGUUUUGGAAGGUGUUAUGUAUGCUGUCAGUGUUAGUGAUGUAUCAACAUUUCUUAACAGUAUUGAGGCCUGUAGAAUUAUGAUGGAUUAUAUUGCUUAUAUAUACCUACCUGAAGUCAGUUCAGUAUUUCGCCAUUCCAAAUACGAUUCAGUGUAGAGGCUUUUGAUGUCAAUGUUCAAAAGUUGGUUGCUAGUAUGACUAUAGAAGUGAUUCGCCUGUGGGUAUACUCAAUAAUUGUUUACAUGAAGAGUAGUCGAAUCAGAUGGUUUAUUGUAUGUGAUUGAUGGAGAAACAGAUAAAUCUGAAGAAUUUGUGAAUACUAUAGAAGUGUAAACAAGUGUAACAUCCAACAUCUGGUCCACGGGAACAUUGUCAAGAAGUAACAUUGACUUCUGUGUGUUUAGUUGAGUAGUCGUUAAUGGGCCACCACAAUUUAUAUCUAAUUAACAUUUAUAGUAGUCCUAUUUGUAGUAAUAACACACACAUAUAUUUUAUAACUUAUGAUGAAACAAAUAUUUAUUCUAUCAAUUUUAAACCACUGAUUCAAUUAGGUUUACUUAAAUAUUCAUUAAAUCAAAGGUUUUUUUAGAUUUUUUAAAAUUUUAAAGCCGUUUAAAAUAAUUUCAUUGAAUUUUCACCUAAAUAAUUUUUUUAGAUAAUUAUAUUCGAAAUAAGUUGGUAACAUAAUAAAAUAAUAAUUGUUAUUUUUUUACCUUUUAUGUUAAUUUAUAUACUUGUUUGGUGCUUACGCCCAAAAUUUUUGGGAAUAUGUCGAUUAUACUUUUUGGCGAUCACCCCUUAUUUUUGUUAUUAACCUGAAUUUUGGUAGUUACAACCAGCAUAAUAAUAAUAAUAUUAUAAUUUCAUUUUACUCUGUUUAUCUAAAAAUGAACAAAACAAAAUUUAUUUUGAGAAUUAUAUGAAGAAUUAUAUUAAGAAAUUAUCAAUAAUUAUAAUAACCAAAAAUGCAGAAUUAUG